rnacentral:lncRNA from 1 species
CUCUAUUUAAGAUGAUCUUUAGACAAUAUACAAUUCCGUAUGAAUAUUAUUUCAUUCUGCGUUACGUACAUUUAUUGUUCCAAAAAUUGGGUAUUUUCAUAUUCAGAGUGUCUAAUUGCAAACUUAUGAACUACAUUUCAAAUCCAUUAUUCAAUAUUUACCUACAGGGGCUAAAAGGAUUUACUGGACUUGUGGGACCAGUAGAAAAGACGGGACAGCAUGCAAGUAGCCUGACAGACAUAGCUGUGUUCAGCAGAAGUGAUCCUGUUUGGAAUCAUCAUCGGACUUGUCCAUUUCAGCUGGAGAGGACCUCCAUAGGAGACAACAGUCUUUAG